rnacentral:lncRNA from 1 species
GGGCGGCGGCGGGCUGGGCUGGCCUCGGGCUGCGAUGGAGCGGGGCCGCGGGCUCCGCGCCCCCCGCGCCGCGAAGCCGCAGAGGAAGAAGCGCCGCUCGUCCCCUCUGCCGGGGGCGGCCGCUGUGCCGGGCAGCCGGGCCGGCAGCUCCCAGAUGUGCCGGCGGCGCCUCUUCGGCAGCGCGGGGCCUCGCGGGCCCGAGCCCGCCUGCCUGAAGAAAAAGCCCAGUGGGAAAAACUUACCAAAGAUUAAAGAAAAUGUUGAAUAUACUGAAGAGAGCUCUUCAUGCAACCAAAGCAAUCAAGUGACUGUCAGAGAAACAACAGACUUCAAGAUAAAAGAUGAGGAACCAGAAAAAAACAGUGUACCACUUCAGGAUUACAAAAUAAUCAACUUUGAAAGUAAAGGAAGUUUAAAAAAUGCUGAAGUGACUUCAAGUACAGAAAUUACUCUUCCCACAGGUGUUUCCACCUUUCUCAUAGAGUGUUUAGAUGAAGAUUCAGCUGCAAAUUAUAGCGCUGCUAGUGACAGCCUGAAAACUUACUCAUCUCCUGAAACAUUCAGAGAUGAUGAUUUGGAUCCAGAAAGAUGCAAUUUUUACUCUGUGGACCUUGGCAAGUACAAGAACUCUACUCUCCUGGACUCCAGCAAAGCAGUGACCAUUGAUAAGAUACCACAGAUCUCAAAUCUUUCAGCAAUAUUAGAACCUGUACCAGAGGAUUUUCCAGAGCGAUGCACUAGAAGAAAGAGACCAUCAAGUUACUAUAAAAGCUCUUCAGCAUUAAACGUUUCAGCUACGCUGGCAGGGAAAAAACUCUGUAAAAUAACAGCUGCAGGAGAGAGAACUCCAGACCUAAAAAGUGGUACGCGCUGUUCUUCACCAUUAGGACCGGAAAGCAAGCAUGAUAAUCAAACAACUAAAGCCAAAAGGCUGAAGAAAAAAGAAAGCAGCUUUAAUCUCUUUGAAGAAGGUUCAUCAUCAUUUACACAGCUUGAUGCCUCAGAAGACAUGUCAGACAGCUCAAAGGAAUUGACAGUAGAAGUUCUGGCAGCCAAACCGAGGGAUGCUGUGGUGCCAAUGACUUCCACCAUGCUAAUCAUGGAGGAAAAUAAAGUCCUAAAAAGUCCUGGUAAUGCUCAGCCUCUAGAGCUAGAUCUUAGCUUGUCACCGGUGUGUAAAGCCUCACCUGGGGAAGACCUGUUCCUGAAUACCACAGGUCCAUUUGUAAACUCAGAAGAAAUUGUUCCUGCAUCUCUGAGCUCAGAAAAAGAAAUUAUUCCUCAGAGUCCAGAAGAAAAGAAUAUUUUAAAGCCUCAAUGUGAUAGACAAGAAAUCUGCUCCAUUGUUAGACUGUCACCAGACCCGAGGCCUUCCUGGCCCCAGCAAGUUCCAGUUAAAUUUAAAAAGUUCCGCUGUCCCAAAGGAGUGCCUGAAGAUACUAUAACAAGUACCAAAAAUUGGAUCUACUGUAAACAGAGAUGAGAUUUUUGGCUCUCAGCAGGAGUUAACAGAAGAAAUGACUGUCUUGCUACUGUGACAGGGUGGUAAAACAGAACUCCUAACUAGUAAAUAAUAGUUAUAUGGUUUUUGUAUGAAUGUUGUUUGAAAUUUAAUAUUACAUGUUUCUAUAAGCUAGUAAAUACUCAAAUACUUUAUAUUAAAUUGUUUUGUUCAGCAGCUAGAUCCUGCUCUGGGCAUUGUUCUGUAAGAUUCCAUAGAGAUGAUUCUUCAAUUUGUUUAGAUUUUUAAAAAGUUUGACUGAAGAACAGGAGACCAAAUUCCUUUAAUUAAUUACUUUUGGCUCUUUCUGCCAAGAUUUCUAGUUUUCUCUAGUAGCAUUAGCAUCAAAAGAUGGAACCUCUGUUUAAGUGUUAACAUUGACUAUGAAGGUCAGUGUUAACAUGGAGUCCUGGGAGUGGCCAUGAAAGCAUUCAUGCACUCUCGGAGACCCAGAAGUCAAUAGUAUGGCACCAUUAAACUCCUUGAGUGCUUAAGUCUGCAGAACUUUGGAGGUACGGGACUGUGAGUUCUGCUGUAAUUUGAUUUCUGAACAUGACUACAGGUCAUCUUCACCCCAUCAUCACUGAGAAUUGUCUCUUAAUGAUCAGCACUGUCACCAUUCAGGGCACAUCCACUGCCCAGCCACUGCCACCACAGAGUCCUUCCUGUUUCAUCUCAGGUAUUUUGUAAGAUCACAUCUCUUAGUCAUUCUCUCUUCUAGUGGCUUCAGACUUAAGAGAAAGUAAAUGCCUUACAUGAAGACAAUGGUGGGAAAAACCCUUUUAUAGCUGAACUGUUUGAAGAGAUGGAUAUUGACAUUCUGGAUUUUCAGGUUACUUCUCACACUGUGUCCACAUAAGUUAGACUCCCUGUGCUUCCUGUUCAGGUUGUGGAUUGUUAAUUCAUAAAUGUUGUUCUUAAUGUGCUGAAUGUCUCGGAAAAAACAGUCAAGAACAAUUUUUUUCCACUUGAAUUCAUUGCA